rnacentral:rRNA from 1 species
UGCGUAGGGUGCAAGCGUUAAUCGGAAUUACUGGGCGUAAAGCGUGCGCAGGCGGUUUUGUAAGUCUGAUGUGAAAUCCCCGGGCUCAACCUGGGAAUUGCAUUGGAGACUGCAAGGCUAGAAUCUGGCAGAGGGGGGUAGAAUUCCACGUGUAGCAGUGAAAUGCGUAGAGAUGUGGAGGAACACCGAUGGCGAAGGCAGCCCCCCGGGUCAAGAUUGACGCUCAUGCACGAAAGCGUGGGGAGCAAACAGG